CUUCAGUGAUGAUACGAUGACGAGUCAGAAUGGGUGCUCAGCUUGAAGGAGUUCGUGUCCAGAGUCACGUUCUGUGCUUCUGAGCAUAGACCCUUUGAGCAGAGUGUCCCUUUCACUUGAAGACAUUGAGGCAUUUGUCUGAGAAGG